rnacentral:rRNA from 1 species
UACGUAGGGCGCAAGCGUUAUCCGGAAUUAUUGGGCGUAAAGAGCUCGUAGGCGGCUUGUCGCGUCGACCGUGAAAACUUGGGGCUCAACCCCAAGCCUGCGGUCGAUACGGGCAGGCUCGAGUUCGGUAGGGGAGACUGGAAUUCCUGGUGUAGCGGUGAAAUGCGCAGAUAUCGGGAGGAACACCAAUGGCGAAGGCAGCUCGCUGGGACGUUACUGACGCUGAGACGCGAAAGCGUGGGGAGCAAACAGG